rnacentral:lncRNA from 1 species
UUUUUUUCAUGCAUAUUACCAUUCUUCAUUCUAGAUUUGAUUCGCUUAGUAUUAAAAGCUGAUGCAGGGAUUAAUAUCUCAUUGUACCACUGCAGCUAUUACCACAGUUGUCACAAUUGCAGAGAUUCUCAAAAACAAUAGAUUUUCUGUUGAGAAAAGUAAGACAUCUACUUUUAUUUUCCCCCUUUCAAAAUGAAACAAUCAAAUUAUUAAGUUUACUUAUAUUCAACAACCUGAAUACAGAAGUCAUAAGAUCAAUUUUUAACAUAAAAGAUGACUAGCGAGAGACCAGUCCAAAAGGCCAAGUUAUUCCAAUGUGAUACUCUAAUAUCAAAUAGAUAUUCAUUUAUCCUCAAUAUACAAAAUGAGUUCCAACCAAUGUUUUAAAAAACUAACCUCGGGGGCGCCUAGGGCGCCUUUGAGGCUGGGUGCGAAGGCUAAUGCCUUUGUUUUGCUGGAGUGGGCGGAAGGCAUAGUCGGAGCCGCCUAGGCGCGCCUCAGGGGAUUUUUUAUUUUUUUAUUCCCAACCCAUUUUGGGUAGGGUUUUAACUGCCUCAUAACUCUUCCUUGCACUAUCGUCUCUCUGCCUUUUUCUGAUUUUUAUUUUUUUUAUAUAAUGGAUGUGUGUGCUGUCUGCGUGCAUUGUUAUAUAUAUAUAUAUAUAAUAUAAUAUAAUAUAUGUGUAUAUAUAUUUAUAAUAUAUGUGUGUGCUUAGGGUGAUUAUUGAUUAAUAAUCUUUUUUAAUAUAAUAUAUGUGUAUGGUCAGUGUAUAUAUUAAAACAUUUAGGUCUCGUGAGGCUUCAUCUCACGCCUCACGCCUAGGCUGGGCUAUCUCUUGGACGCCUCACCCACGCCUCACGUUUUUAAUACAUUGGUUCCAACUCAUUCUAAAAUGUCUGUUUACAUUUCUUUAAAAAACUAAGUAAGAUGUUAUUAGUGAAAGGAUGUGGUUUAGAGUAGACAUCCUUUUCAUUCUACCAAUACAGUUAUCAUUUCAUGUCUGCGUUUGCAUCCUUUAUAGUAUAAAUUUCUUCAUAUCUAAAUUCAUUGCAUUUUUUUAUAUUUUGCCUAAGCUGAGAGAACUUAUUGGGAGGAGAAAAAGAAAAGGUAGAGAGUAUAUUUUUUUUUUAAAGAUUGUUGCCGUUAGAAUCUAUUAUUUCUCUUUCACUCUAUUUACAGAUUUAUUUGAAAACUUGCAGGAAGAAACAAUGAGGUUGUUGAAGUGCAGAAUGAAUGUUUACUCUACUACUAGGCUGGACCACCUGGUGAAAUUUUCAUUUCGAGAUGUAUAUAUGUGUUCGUGACUUUUUUAUGCUUCGGACAAAAUUUGAGUUUUAACAUUACAACUAAAUGUCCAUAUACAUUUACUCUACUACUAGGCUGGAUCACCUGGUGAAAUUUUCAUUUCGAGAUGUAUACAUACGUUCGUGACCUUUUAUACUUUGGACAAAAUUUGAGUUUUAGCAUUACAACUAAUGUCCAUAGACACAUGAUGCAAAUUGGGCAUGAAUGUCACAUUUAAAUUGGCAUGAGUUAAGGUUUAAAAUGUAAAUUUACAGCGGCUAUAGAAUUUCUUGGAUCUCACCAAAACAAAAAAGUUUGUCCAUGCAAUCUGAGAAUGAAAUUUUCAGCUGCGAUAUAAUUUCUUGGAUCUUACCAAAUAGUUUAUGGGAUGUGAAUAUUUUCCAUUUUUAGCUUAUCUUUGAGUAAGGAAUUUUGAUGAAUUUAUAAUUACUCCUCUGUUUUUUGGUGUUUUGAGGCGAUUGGAGCUAAAGAUGGAGAAGUUUUUGAGACUUUUAGACUUAUUGGACCUCUCAAGGUUGAUGUGGUAAGGAGUUUAUGGAGUUACACGUAUAGUAGUCAAAUUGUUCUCUAUGUUCUGUAGAAUAUAAUUUACUGGUAAUACUUUCUGCUGGUAUGAGUUACAACUGUUAAUUUUACUCUGAGUAGGAAUUUUUGAAUGACAAACUGCAAGAAGGUUUUCUUAAAUGAAUACGAUGUACCAUGAAACUAGAUGAAGUUUAUGGUCUUAUAUUCUUUUUUCACAAUAUCGUUAUAAGUUUCUAUAACACUCAUUGGUUAUUUAAACAGCAUCUGAUGGCAAGAAAUGAAAAUGUAAUGAGUGUGGAAUAUCAUGUUUAUGACGUCUUAGUGAUUAAGAAAAAACUUUACAUGUGCAAUUAUUAAAAGAUAUCUAAUUGCGUAACAAUCAGUUUUUUCGGCUAGGUUUUCAAGUUAUUUCACGAUUCUCUCUCUCUCUCUCUCUCUCUCUCUCUCUCUCUCUCUCUCUCUCUCUCUCUCUCUCUCUCUCUCUCUCUCUCUCUUCUCUUUAUUUUUUUUAAUUACAUGUAAUAGUUUAUGGUCAAUGUGAUUCCGUAUCUAUUUGAUUAAUUAUAUUCUUAGAUUACGUAGGAAGAGUAGCAAGUAGCAAUGAUGAUGCUUUUUAAGUCAGUUACUCUUCUUAUUACAGACAAAAUCAUUGAGAUAAUAGCCUUGCAUAUAACAUCCUUUCAGAAUCAAUCCAUAUGUCCAUAUUGGUAAGCAUUGUUUGCCUAUUUUUCUUUUAUUAUAUAUUUUCAAAGUGUAGUAUUUUGACCAACAAUUUGUUACUACAAGGGAAUUAGAUUUUUUAUACGUAAAUAACUUUUUUAAAGUGUUAAUUAAAAUGGUUAAUUGAUGGUUAUUACUUACCUUGCAUAUUCUUGCUUAUUAUUUACUAUGCACAUGCAUAUUCAUGUUAUACUAAGUAUAAUGUUCACUGUCAUUCACUUAUUUACCGGAUAUUUAACAAUAUUUUUUUCUUUCCAUUUUUUUCUCACGCUGAAGUGUUAAGCAACAAGCAAUAUAAACUUACACAAAUUUGGUUUUUUCAUUGUUAAUCUACUGAUGCUAGGGAUAAUUUGAGCUUUUACAUUCUUUUGAACAUUUUUCAUAGUUAACUUGCAGGAUCACUAUCAUUGUACACUUUUCCGCAACUGUUUGUUAUGUCUUUCUCCCUUCCUUUGUGUAAUUUUAGUCAAUUGAACUACUCUUUUUAACUUAAGAUUGAACUGAAGUGCUAAGAACUUAGUUAAAUAAAAGUUUACAUUGGUUUGAUGACAUUUAGGUGUUCAGUGUUGAGUGCAUGAUUAUUAGGUCCACAACUAUUAGAUACAUGAUCUUUCAUAUGUUUUAACUAUAACAUAUCAUAAUCCCGCAACAUCACGUAGGUAGCACUUUCUAGUUGAUAUCUAAAGAAAGGAAAAAAAUCACCCUUCCUCUUGCUUGUAUUUUGACUUGGUGUGGGACAUGCAUGCAGCUAGUGCAGUAAUAAAUAAUAAUUAACCAUUCUUUCCUAAAAGAAAAAAAAAGCCCAUUAGGCAUUAGCAUUGAGCUUGAGGGAUAGAGCAUAAAAACACAGAUAUUUGCACUCCAAAAAUAUGUCAAGUUAUCAGAGAGACGAGCUAAAGAUUCAUUUUCAAAAUACCGAUAUCGUCUCCAACUUGUUAAUUAUCACCUGCACAGUCUGAUAGAAGCAGGAUUGUAGCCCAAAAGGCCUCUGUAUUAGUUGGAAUGGAAUUGGGAUAUUUAAACUCCUAUUUCAUGUCUCUAGCUGAUGUGGGAUAUUUCAACAAAAUAAUCAGCAACCACGUGGAGCCAAGGGAACUCAUCCAACACAUGGGGUCAAGGGACCCACCAUCAUCACGCAGGACCAAGGGACCCAUCCAUCACGUGACAGUACGAGCUCGCUUUCUGGUUUUGAUAUGUUAGAUUAUCAAAGAGACGAGCCAAAGGUCCACUUCCAACCAUACCGAUAUUGUCCCUGAUAACUCAUAUAUUUUAUGCAUCUAUACCAUCCAUUCCUAGUCUCUUUGUGAUAUUUUUGAGUUAAACUGGUUGCAUUUACCCUGUUUUGUUAAUGUGCAGUUAAUUGUAUUUUAAAGUCUAUUUGAGGGCAAAUGAGGCAAAAUGGUGCUGAAAGUGGAGAAUUCAAUAAGGAUUCUGUUGUAGAAAUAUUCAAAGUUAACAAUUGAAUAUGGUGAUGAAUAUGGCCCUUUAAGAGACCAAUAACAUAAAGGAAAAAAAAUUAAAAAAAAAUGUUUGAAAUAAAGGCUCAAUUACUGAGAUGUGUUAAGAUUCUGUAACAGCCACUUUUACCUUAUAAAAUCUAGCCUUCAACCAUUUUUACACAAGACUUAUCUUGGGGACGCCCAGAGCUAUCUCUUCUCUUUCUUUGGCCUUUCUUCCAGAACAAAACCUUAUUUUCCUUCACCAUUUGCUGCCAUCAAAGAACGUUUGAAUAAAGAUUCUGCUGUAGAGAGAGAUUUAAAGUGAAUAGUUGAAUAUGGUGAUGAAUAUGACCUUUUAAGUAGUGUUCUAAAAAAUGCCCUAGGCAGCUGCCUGGGUAGCUCCUAAGCGCUGGACGAUGGAGUGCCUCUGGGAUUUAUGCCAAAUCGUUCAUAAAAUUGGGUACUUAGUCGGCCACCUAGGCAUUAUUUAGGGGUGGUAAGUAGUUGUCUAGGCGGCCUUGUCGGAGCCUUGGCGGUUCUCCAUUUUGUUGCGAUAUCAUGAGAAGAGAGAGAGCGGACUGGAAAUCUUUGGAAUACAUACAAACUCCACUUGAUCGUUGAAAGAACCCACCCUAGAUUACUUCAUAAAAUGCUUUUUGACAAGCGGGCCAUGCCGAUGUUGCUUGAUAGUUGGGUAUUUUGGAAUUCUUUCGGGUUUUUGGGUUGAAGGUUGGGGGGUUUGAAGUAGAUUUUGGAGGUGGUGGGAGAGGUCUGAU